ACACACACCACAAGGCACCGUGGAGCAGUCACAGGCCCCGGCCUGGCCACACGUUCUUCUUGGUGACCUAAGAGCAAGGCACCACACCUCCUCCCCCUUCCGAGAGCCUAGACGAGGAGCCACCCAACUGGUCAUUGAUGAACUCAAGUUACUCACCCGCUGUCUGGCCCACGGAGAACACCUGGCCCAGCCACUCGGCUCCUCACAGGGAGGAGGGAGUAACAGCUGGGAAAGCAUCACGGGUCCACUGUCCACCGUGGCAGGAUCCCCUGGGGCGGUGGUCUGGCGGGGUCCCCUGGGGCGGUGGUCUGGCGGGGCCCUUGAGGACCUGAUGGAGCGAUGGGUAGUCCCCAGGGCGUCCCAAACCUCCUGAGGCCCAUCCCUGCCCUGUCUAUCAUCUCUAUGGGGGUUUUCAAGGGAGUUUUCUAUGAGUUUGGACUGGGCUUGAAUCCUGGAUCUGUUGCUUCCUGGAUGAGCAAAUCUGAGCAAUGCACAUCCAUUCUCUGAGCCUGUUUCCUCGUCUGUAAGGUGUGGACAGUGAUAUCCGCCCCCCAGGGUUGUUAUUGGGGUGAAGAUUACAGGAGACAGUGCCAGCAAAACCCUUCGUUUCGUGUCUGGUGCUUAGCAGACAGUCAACACUUUCGGGGAAUAAUAUUCUGGAAAUAUUUU